UGAUCACUGUGGUGUUUUGCUUUUCCGAUUGCCAUGGAGGGAUUCAGAUUCUUGGAAGAAUGAGCUCCGUAAAUAAAAUAAAGCUUAACGAAAACAACAAGAUGCACUCUUUUGGGAACUGGGAGCGGUGCCGGAAUCUGGGAGAGGGCGGAUUCGGCCUAGUGAUCCAUUGGCGAAACCGAACAACGGGCCGUGAAAUUGGAUUUUCUUUUUCGCAAACACACAUUACCAGCCCCCAAACACCCUCCCCCUUUCCAGCCUUACUCAUAAAUAAAUAAAUUUUUUGUUGUAUUUUGUAUAUAUCCAAAUAAUAAAACCAUAAAAACAACAU
ensembl:ncRNA lncRNA:CR45212 long non-coding RNA:CR45212